GGCGAUAAGGGGACCUCGAGUGCCAGGUUACAAAUCUGGCUGUCGUGAUGCAUAAAAAGCAUUGCAUAGCAAGGGCCGGGCAAGACCGGUGCCAGCCGCCGCGGUAACACCGGCGGCUCGAGUGGUAACCGUUAUUAUUGGGUCUAAAGGGUCUGUAGCCGGCCGGAUAAGUCUCUUGAGAAAUCCAGCAGCUCAACUGUUGGGCUUUCAGGAGAUACUGUUCGGCUCGAGGCCGGGAGAGGUGAGAGGUACCUCAGGGGUAGGGGUGAAAUCUUGUAAUCCUUGAAGGACCACCAGUGGCGAAGGCGUCUCACCAGAACGGACCUGACGGCAAGGGACGAAAGCUAGGGGCACGAACCGGAUUAGAUACCCGGGUAGUCCUAGCCGUAAACGAUACUCGCUAGGUGUCGGCCACGGUGCGACCGUUGUCGGUGCCGUAGGGAAGCCGUGAAG
rnacentral:rRNA from 1 species